rnacentral:rRNA from 1 species
CCUACGGGAGGCAGCAGUAAGGAAUCUUCCGCAAUGGGCGAAAGCCUGACGGAGCAACGCCGCGUGGGCGAUGAAGGCCUUCGGGUCGUAAAGCCCUUUUCUGUGGGACGAUAAUGACGGUACCACAGGAAUAAGCCACGGCUAACUACGUGCCAGCAGCCGCGGUAAUACGUAGGUGGCUAGCGUUAUCCGGAUUCACUGGGCGUAAAGAGCGCGUAGGCGGUGUGCUAAGUUGGACGUGAAAGCCCCCGGCUUAACCGGGGGAGGUCGUCCCAUUCUGGUGCACUUGAGGGUGGACGGGGAAAGCGGAAUUCCCGGUGUAGUGGUAAAAUGCUGAGAUAUCGGGAGGACCACCAGUGGCGAAGGCGUCUUUCUAGACCUCUCCUGACGCUGAGGCGCGAAAUCGUGGGGAGCGAACGAGAUUAGAUACCCCUGUAGU